GCCUGCCGGGGUCGUGCCUGCUCCUCCCCCCAGGAAGUGACAUCACCCACACUCCGCGGAGCAGCUGAGGAGCAGGGACUCCGGGAAGCCGAGCGGGGAAGGAUGGGGAUGGGGGAGAUGCGCACAAGCGGGCCAGGGGCGGGGGCCUCAGCAGCGGCAGCAUCGGUGACAAGCGGCGGACGGUGUUGCUCGGGUUCGCAGUGACAGGGUGGGAGGGGCUGCGGGCGAGCUGGGAACAGCUGGCCUCACUGCCCCUCCUCUGCAGGUGGCUCUGAGACUGAGCUGGAGGGUGAGGAGGCUGGGCUUGGGGGGCUGCAGGGAGCACCCCACACCACGGGAUGCACUGAGAGGUCAGAGGUCAGCAGCAGGGCCGGGCGGUACCCAGGGUCUGCAUUCUGUCACACGGGGUGGGGGGCAGCGCUGCCCCAGGGGAUUGGUGGGGCAGGUCCCAUGUGCCACCUGCCCGGCCCAAUUGGAGGCCACUUCACCCUGUCUUCAGUUGGACCUGAGCCCACACUUCCUGCACUGGGGCCUCCCCUUGUCCUGAUCCACCCCUUGUGGGGUCCAAAGGGCCCAGUUUCCCCGUGAUGAUUCAGGCCCUGGGGUGAAGCAUGCACCAUUCUAGGAGUUCCUCUUUCUAAAAAUGCAACUUUUGAAAAAAAGCACAUGCUGUCCCUACGUGAAAAUCCUGCUGUGCUCCUUGUGGCCUGGAGGAUGAAGCCACAGCCCCUCCGGGCCGAGGCACACGCCCGUCUUGGGGUCCCCAUGAGCCACGUCACCUGGGGCCCAGCCUACGCACCUCCUCCUGUUACUGCUGCUUAAGGACAGGGGCACUGAGAUGCCGCCCAGGCCCCUGGGAAGCAGGAGCACCAGCGACUCCGCCACUCCAGUGCCCACGGUGCAGGCGGGGCUGAGACAGGAGGGCCUCGGCGGGCGCCCUCACAGUGGGGACGCUGAGGCUUGGGAAGGACACGGGUGCCCAGCUUGCCCUCAGUGCCAGCCCAGGCACCACACACCGCCCCGAGUUCGCGGCCAGCUCCCUCCCUCCUCCUGAGUCCCGAUGGCACUGCCGCUGCCGCAGCGUCACCCCAAGGAGCUGCAGCCUGGUCUCUACUGCUGCCCGAAGAUGCAGAGUUUCAGGAGCCAACCCAACCCACCUACGCUCCACCCGGGGCUAAACCCGCAGCGUCCAGCACACCCCCGCCUCCAAGGGUCACCACGCCCUCACUCCAGGGCCAGCGUCACUGUGCCAGGCACAUGGCCCAGGCAAGCUGAGCGAGAGGAGCGGGCAUGAAAGCCUGCUGCCUGGCCCAGUCCUAGUCCCGGUCGGGAGUGUCCUCUACCCUAAGCACGGCAAGGCCCGGCCCCGGCGGCCCCAGGCUCUGUCCCCACUGGGCUGGCUUGCCCCAGCCACCUUCUGGUCCAGCCGAGCUGCAGCAGUGCCUUGCGGGGGGCAGCGAGCUGCUCCCCUCCUAGGCCCGACAACAGUACCCAUGGCCACCUGUGUGCAUGACCGAGGACUGGACGCGGCAGCAGGUGGGGCCACAUGCACACACCUGCCGCUGCUUCGGUGCCUGGAGGGGCAGCCCGGGGCAGGUGGUGCUGGCCACCCUGCCUCACGCAGCCUGUGAGCGGCCAGCUGCAGCUCCGUCCCACCCAAGCCCUUCACAAACAUCAACUUGGUGGACCCCCUACCACUGCAAAAGGAGGUCCUGCUGCUGCCACUGGCACUUUACAGACAGGUGACCUGCCCGGGUCACAAGGCCCAGCUCCUGCAUCUGCGACUCAACCUCCAAGUGCUGUUCUGGGACGCAGGAUGCCGUCUGUCUCAGCUCUGAGCUGCCUUCGAACCUACAAGGGUUUGGCUCUAAAGUGUCCUCCCAAAGCUG